rnacentral:lncRNA from 1 species
GAAGAACAGUAAAAGUGCGGAUUGCAAUACAGUGGACUAGAAGCAUGGGUGUCCAAAUGAAGAUCCUGGCUUCUCAGCAAUUACCAGGAGAAGUCUACUAACGGUUUAUGUUUUUCCAUCUAUUGAGUAACUACUAUAAAAUCACAUACCGAGACAGGAGCGUGGCAUGGCUGUCCUCUGAGAGGCCCUACCAGCAGCUGACUGAGACAGAAGUCUUUUCACAACAUUGGACUGAAGUCAGGGACCCUUAUGGUUGCAUUAGGGGAAGGAUUGAAGAGGCUGAAAGGAAGAGCAACCCCGUAGGAAGACCAGCAAUCUCAAUUAACCCAGACAGCAGGAGCUCCCAGAGACUGAGCCUCUAACAAGGAGCACCCAGGGGCCAGUCCAAGGCCUCAGGCACUUAUGUAGCAGAGGUCUACCGGUCUGGCCUCAGUGGGAGACAGCGUGCUUAACCCUGCAGAGACUGGAGGCCCCAGGGAAGGGGGAAGCCAGGUGGAUGGGGAGCACCCUCUCGGCGGCAAGAGGGAGGAGGAGUGGGAUGAGGAACUGUGGGAGGGGGAACUUAGGGGUAGGCAAUGACCAGAAUGUAAACAAAUAAAAUAAUUUUUCAAAACAUAAGCACAGAGA